GGUAAGAUGGCCGAGAAGGUGGCGAAUUGUAGCCUCGCCCACGGAACAGUGUUCCUCUUAUCA
rnacentral:tRNA from 1 species